rnacentral:rRNA from 1 species
ACUCCUACGGGAGGCAGCAGUGGGGAAUAUUGCACAAUGGGGGGAAACCCUGAAUGCAGCCAUGCCGCGUGUGUGAAGAAGGCCUUCGGGUUGUAAAGCACUUUCAGUGAGGGAGGAAGGUAGUGUAGUUAACACCUGCAUUAUUUGACGUUACCUACAGAAGAAGCACCGGCUAACUCCGUGCCAGCAGCCGCGGUAAUACGGAGGGUGCGAGCGUUAAUCGGAAUUACUGGGCGUAAAGCGCAUGCAGGCGGCCUGUUAAGUCAGAUGUGAAAGCCCGGGGCUUAACCUCGGAAUUGCAUUUGAAACUGGCAGGCUAGGAGUCUUGUAGAGGGGGGU